CGCAGGGAAAGCACUUAGCUCAGAGAAGUGGAUUUGGGAAGCACUCAGCGAAUCUCAGCUCUCCAGGCUGUAUUUAGUGCUGGAAGCCAAGGGACUAUCAGCCGGAAAAAAAAUCCCACAUGACUUCCCAGGCAAAUCGCUCAGACUCUUCCUGAAUGAUAGUAUCCUCCCACUUCCCCUCUGCCUGUCCAGUUUCUACACAUCCCCCAAAGCCCUGCUCGGGUCUCACGCUUUCUCCGCGAAGCCCCUCGAACACCACGCGUGGUGCUUUCCUACCCCAGCAAACUGGAAGCACCUGGGCAGCUGCUUGUGAGUCCAGAUCCUUCUGCAGAAUCCUGCCAUGUCCAUGCAGCAGUUCAGGAAAACCCUGCGAUCUGUGGACAGGCUUGCUGUAUAGCCCUACUUUGACCGGCAGCGAACGUGGGCACAGAAGAAUCAGGAGAGGUGUCGCUGCGGACCCUUGAAAGACCGCACUUUGAACGGGGACUGGCGUGCAACUGUGGAAGCUUUUACUGGCGAAUCCCCCCUCCGUGGUGGCAGACAAGCUCCACUGGGAGAUAUUUACUUGCUAACAUGAGGGGGGUUAGGGGGCACCACCUGGAAGGUUCAAUGCUCCCCAGAUUUUCAGGGGAGUAUAAAUUGGGGAGGUUGGACCCGUGUGGCUGAAACAGAAUUUCUCAGCUCCGCCCGAGGCUCAGGUGUCCCAGCUGACAGCCUCCCGCCCCCCAACGUGUCACUGUCGCCUCCUGCGGAUAGGUCACGUCCGCGUCCAUACGUGCUCCUCCUCUCCAUUCCCAGGACGAGGGAGUGGGAGCCGUGAGAAGAUGCACCACGUCGUAUCUUGAAGGCAGCAGGGCCCAGGGGCCUAGGACACAGGGGCACCAGGGGUAGAAUAACUUGGGGCACGUUGCCUUUGCUCUCCCAGCCUCAGUUUCCCCUCCUCUCAAAUGGUGGCAAUCACAGCCUCUAUGUCGAGGGGUUUCCUGAGCACUGAUGAGACCCUAGUCAUUACUUUGAGUAUACAUUUAUCAUAUGCUGAGUGCUAAACGAAUACAAACCAUCUUGGUUUUGUUCUCAUUAACCUCUGCAUCUCUUGCAGAGUCUAAGCCAUAAGCUGUUCAACGAGUGUUAAAAACACAAAUAAACAGGGCGCUUGGGGGGCCCCGUCGGUUGAG
rnacentral:lncRNA from 1 species